UCUACGGGAGGCAGCAGUGAGGAAUAUUGGUCAAUGGGCUUACGCCUGAACCAGCCAAGUCGCGUGAGGGAAGACUGCCCUAUGGGUUGUAAACCUCUUUUGUCAGGGAGCAACGCCGGCUACGUGUAGCCGGACUGAGAGUACCUGAAGAAAAAGCAUCGGCUAACUCCGUGCCAGCAGCCGCGGUAAUACGGAGGAUGCGAGCGUUAUCCGGAUUUAGUGGGUUUAAAGGGUGCGUAGGCGGAAUGCCAAGUCAGCGGUAAAAUCGCGGGGCUCAACCUCGCUCCGCCUUUGAAACUGGCGUGCUUGAGUGGGCGAGAAGUAUGCGGAAUGCGUGGUGUAGCGGUGAAAUGCAUAGAUAUCACGCAGAACUCCGAUUGCGAAGGCAGCAUACCGGCGCCCAACUGACGCUGAAGCACGAAAGCGUGGGUAUCGAACAGGAGUAGAUACCCCAGUAGUC
rnacentral:rRNA from 1 species